GCCUGGGUGGCUCAGUUAAGCAUCUGACUUUGGCUCAGGUGAUGAUCUCACAGUUUGUGGGUUCAAGCCCCACAUCGGGCU
rnacentral:tRNA from 1 species